AUAUUUACCUGGCAAGGGAGCUAUCCUGACCACAAAGGUGGUUUUCCCAGGGCGAGGCUUAUCCAUUGCACUCCAGAUGUGCCGACCUCUGCGAUUUCCCCAAAUGUGGGAGACUCAGCUGCAUAAUUUGUGGUAGUGGGGGGCUGCGUUCGAGAUCUCCCCUG